CGAUCCUAUAGCCUGAUGUCACAACAGAAGAGGUGCGAUCCUAUAGCCUGAUGUCACAACAGAAGGGAAUCGAUCCUAUAGCCUGAUGUCACAACAGAAGAGAAUCGAUCCUAUAGCCUGGCGCCAGAUCUAUUUGUGCUGUAUACAGCCACAUCCAUGACAAGGUCCAUAUGAGUUGGCAAGACAGCACCAACAGAUCUGGGACCAGGCUAAACUGACUCAUUGUCUUUGUUUUUCAUCUCAGUCCCAAACUAGUAACCAAGGUGAUGUUCAAUAGAUGGAUCAAUUCAAAUGAUUGUCUUCUUCUUCUUUGUUGUCUGAAAGAAACAGUCAGCGGAAUAGCUUGGCUAUCGUACAGUAACGCCAGACAGACCAGACCAGAUAUAAUGUAACGAUCUGUUUGUGCUGUCUUGACCGACUCUGUGGCAAUGACCAUAGGAACUGGUAAGAUAGCGCACAGUUACAGUGUAGCACGUUUAUUGAUCUGCACUAUUGAGUGUUAAUGAGUGUCUGCUCUCGAUACAGUACAUCCACAGACAACAGGACCAUGACUCUCUGCACCAAUGAAUGGACAAAGCCAUUGAUCGCGUGACACAAUUCAUUCCUAUGUGAAGACUCGAUAGCGCAUUGAAGCCAAAUUAAUUUGGGUAAGAUGGCGUCUCAUGGAGACAUGACAUGCAGCCGUUUGAGCUACUCCAGAAUGUGACGUUGCAGACUAGCUCAGUGCUGCCCCUUCUCAUUGAUUAACUCACAUUGUAGGCCGACCGGGGUACUGCAGACAGUCAUUAGCAUCAACUAAUCCUUAUCCUGCGAUAGAAAAAAAUAUCGGUUUGAGGACAUAUAUCUGGUGUUUCAGAAGCAAUUAUUGGCAGCAUGACUGUCUUCAAAAAUUGGUUUUUAAUUACACAAAGAUUGACCACGAUGAUCAAAAAAUGUCAAAUUCACUAUAAUGGAGAAUCCUGUUUUUGCAAACAAUGCCUGCGGUACCGCAGCCUGCCUCGAACUUCUGUGGCUUUAAUGAGAGUGGGAAGUCGUUCUCAUCCAAUGGCUGCCAUGUUUUUGGAUGACGUGAGUGAUGUCAUCACUUUACCAUGGUUACCAUUACAACAUGCCUUACAGUACUCGGUCUGAUAACUACUCAAGAGAAUGUCUUUACCAUAGCAGGACAGUAUGAAGGAAGAAACUAUUUCUCCAAUAGAAAUCCUCGAUAAUGUUUGUAGGCGAUGUCAUGGCAACGUUGGCUCGCUAAGCUCAUGUGCAGAACACAUCAUCAGGUUUAAGGGUUGUCCUGAACUGCCCAUGUGCAGAACACAUCAUCAGGUCUAAGGGUUGUCCUGAACUGCCCAUGUGCAGAACACAUCAUCAGGUCUAAUGGUUGUCCUGAACUGCCCAUGUGCAGAACACGUCAUCAGGUCUAACGGUUGUCAUGUGCAGGCUGUCAAAUCAAAAGCAAUCCUUCCAUGUAAAGUAGUUUUUUGUGACCAAUUGUUUAUUUGUUUUGACAUUGUUUUGUUAGGGGGUUUACAGGUACAUUGUCCAUUUCAUAUACGUUUAUACAACCUGUACUCAAGAGAAGACAACUAUGUAAGAAAUACAUAGAGAGUUUAAAUAUAAAUAAUAAAAUCAGUAUAAACAGGAAGAUAAAACAAAAAAGAACAUUGUCCACCUUCCCCAACCCCC
ensembl:lncRNA